rnacentral:rRNA from 1 species
UACCAGCUCUCCGAGUGGUGUGGAUAUUUAUUGGGCCUAAAGCAUCCGUAGCUGGCUGGACAAGUCCCCUGUUAAAUCCACCGAUUUAAUCGUUGGUGUGCGGGGGAUACUGUUCGGCUAGGGGACGGGAGAGGCAGACGGUAUUUUCGGGGUAGGGGUGAAAUCCUAUAAUCCCGGGAAGACCACCAGUGGCGAAGGCUGUCUGCUAGAACGCGCCCGACGGUGAGGGAUGAAAGCUGGGGGAGCGAACCGGAUUAGAUACCCGGGUAGUCCCAGCUGUAAACGAUGCAGGCUAGGUGUUUGGACGGCCACGUGCCGUUCUAGUGCCGCAGGGAAGCCGUUAAGCCUGCCGCCUGGGGAGUACGGCCGCAAGGCUGAAACUUAAAGGAAUUGGCGGGGGAGCACCACAAGGGGUGAAGCUUGCGGUUU